GCGUGUUUCUACUUCCGGCACCUUCCCUUUCCGUCUCUAAACGCUCUAGGAACAAGAGGCCCAUCGCGGUGAGGUGUCUGGGUUCGCACUGCGCUACUACAUCUACCUAACCCUUACGGAUUGGCCUCAGAGAAAUCCUGGGAGUACACCUGCUUGGGCUGAACAAAGACCGGAAGAUUGAGCAGGAGAAUAUUACAUCACGAAGGCUGGUGCAGAACCCGAGACAGGAUUCUUUGAGGAGAUCUUACAUUCUUCACCAGAAUGUGGUGUAAAAACCAGAUUCUGUUUACAACACCCAGCAGACCAUUAAGAAUUUCCCAGGAAGAUCGCCCACCUCAGAAGAGUUUUGAUACAGCUGUUAAACCUAUUGGUGAGGCCAACUGCUUUGUUCGGCUCACGUUUUAUUUAUGGUUAGAAUAGAUAUCAUUUUGACAAAAAAAGGUAUUCACACACAAAAAAAUUCAAGACAUGUAGGAAAGUACAAAGCAGAAAGUGAAAACCCCCAGCAUCCAAAAUGUAGUGUCUCCAAAGACAGCACCUCCAAGUU